ACUCCUACGGGAGGCAGCAGUCGAGAAUCUUCCGCAAUGGACGAAAGUCUGACGGAGCGACGCCGCGUGGAGGAAGAAGGCCCCUCGGGUUGUAAACUCCUGUCAGAGCUUAAGAACCGCAGCAGGUCAAUAGCCGUUCCGCUGACGAAGGGCUCAAAGGAAGCCACAGCUAACUUCGUGCCAGCAGCUGCGGUAAUACGAAGGUGGCGAGCGUUGUUCGGAUUCACUGGGCAUAAAGGGCGCGUAGGCGGCUUGGUUAGCGGUUUGUGAAAGCCCGGGCGUCAA
rnacentral:rRNA from 1 species